AUUGAACGCUGGCGGCAUGCCUUACACAUGCAAGUCGAACGGCAGCGGGGACUUCGGUCCGCCGGCGAGUGGCGAACGGGUGAGUAAUGUAUCGGAACGUACCAUUGAGUGGGGGAUAACUAUCCGAAAGGAUAGCUAAUACCGCAUAUUCUCUCCGGAGGGAAGCAGGGGACCGCAAGGCCUUGCGCUCAUUGAGCGGCCGAUAUCAGAUUAGCUAGUUGGUGAGGUAAAGGCUCACCAAGGCGAAGAUCUGUAGCGGGUCUGAGAGGAUGGGCCGCCACACUGGAACUGAGACACGGUCCAGACUCCUACGGGAGGCAGCAGUGGGGAAUUUUGGACAAUGGAGGGAACCCUGAUCCAGCCAUGCCGCGUGUGUGAAGAAGGCCUUAUGGUUGUAAAGCACUGUAAGCGAGGAGGAGGCUUACCUAGUUAAUACCUGGGAUAAGUGGACGUUACUCGCAGAAUAAGCACCGGCUAACUCUGUGCCAGCCGCCGCUGUAA
rnacentral:rRNA from 1 species